rnacentral:rRNA from 1 species
UACGGGGGGAGCAAGCGUUGUUCGGAUUUACUGGGCGUAAAGGGCGCGUAGGCGGCCAGUGCAAGUCAGUUGUGAAAUCUCCGAGCUUAACUCGGAAAGGUCAACUGAUACUGCUCGGCUAGAGUGCGGAAGGGGCAACUGGAAUUCUUGGUGUAGCGGUGAAAUGCGUAGAUAUCAAGAGGAACACCUGCGGCGAAGGCGGGUUGCUGGGCCGACACUGACGCUGAAGUGCGAAAGCUAGGGGAGCGAACGGG